UAAUGCCUUAUUAUUAUGCCUGUAUUCUGUGAAGGAAAGCAGUCUCGUCUGCCAUUUGGUCACAACGGUGCAAGGAGCAGUGGACCCCUGGAUGUAAUAAACAUGCCGAUGUCUGUGGGCCAACGGAGAUUGGAGGAUCCAGAUCCUACUGCGUGAGAGACUGCCAGUGAUACCAGGUCAGCUGUUUCUACACAACACUCAGUUCAGCUACAUUGUUGCUGGCACUGCACCAUUGAACAGCGAGGGAUGUUCAUCACUACCAAGUAACUUUUGCAACUUUCCUAUUUUUUCGGGAAUACCGCCGCUGCCCCCGGGCCAUGCCUCUAUAAUGAGAAGAUCACCUGGGUGAAGAUGACGAUGCAACAUCGACAUGUCGAAGUACCCAGCGAAUGUGACGACAAAACUACUAAAUGGAUUUUGAUCAACAGACAACCUGGAUAGGCAACUUUUUAAAAAUCCUAGAAUCACUACCAGAAAACUUUUUAGCUCUAAGUUUUAUUUUAACAGUUACUAGAAAAUAAAACCGAGAGCAUGUUAAAUAAAACAAACCAACACCUAUCCCAAAAGAAAUGGUAGAAACAUAAUCAACAAAAUAUAUCAUACAGGUUACCAGAUAAGGCAAGUAAUAAUGAAAAAUAAUUUAUCUAUCUUUUA